UCUGCCCUGGCCUCUGGCUUGGAAUCCCAGAAGGCCGUCCGGGGGACGCACAGAGGGAAGCGGAGAAGCCCGGCUUUUGGACUCCUGCGUCUGGGACCGUGCUGAGCUCUGGGCCAGGCCCGGUCCCAGCCUCCGCCCCCGCUCCGCGGUCGGGAACAAGGCCGUGGCACGGGGCCGUGGACCUCAGGCAGGCCCAGCUCUCAGGGCGGGGAGGAGAAGGAACACAUCUUUUCCCUAAAGGACAUCCCGCCUCCCUAGGAUGGGGCGGACCAGCCAGGCGCUGUGAUCCUCCUGUCGCCUUCUCUUCUCUCCCCAGGCAAGAGCUGCCCUGACGUAGGUUGGCGAGGCAGGGAAAAGCAAGCCGGCGAAGCACCUCACAAAGGCGCUAUUCUUGGGCUAUUUUGGAAGCGUUUUGGAAGGUGAGUGGAACUGUGUGGGCAGAUCCAGUGAACUGUCCAAAUUCAUUAAACUAAAUUAUCUGCUGCUCAAGGAGAGAGCCUCAGCAGCUGAAGCCUAUCAUCAGAAACCAGCCUCACCGCCCCUUCUCCGACCCUCCAUGGCCCAUUACUUGGGAGAGACAGGCGGUGACUUCUGCUUUGGAUUGAACAAAAGGCAGUGGGAAGCACAGGCCCCAGUGAGGGGGAAGGGGGCUAAAAGCCCAAAGAGAAGCUCCACGUCUGCCCCCAACACCUGGCCCUUCCUACAAAGCGUCAUCCGGAACGCAGAGGAUCUCCGUGUGUGUUCACAGACCGCGUCUGCCCGUGGCUGUCCUGAGCAUGAUCUAAGUAGACUUCUGUUUAGGUGUUUGGGAGGACGACAGGGUGAGCGGUUGGUGUGUUUACUACUGGGGCCGAGGCCUGAGUGGGGGUGGGGGCGGGGGCGGCUGCCACGUGCUGCUGGUGGGGAGGGAGCCCUGGAGAUCUCUUUGAAAUGCAAGUUGGGAAAUCUCCAGAUGUUUCCACUUCUGAGUCUGGCCAGUGUGGCUCUCAGAAUCCUCCUAGGGGAGAGGGGAGGUGAAGAGGGUGCUCUGGGCAGCAUGGGGUUGAAAUGGCAUUUAGAGAGCAGCUGUGCAGUGAACCCCAAGGAUCCUCAGAAUCUGUGGGGUCCCUGGUGGAAUGGAGGGGGCACAGGGGUCCUUCUUUCCCUUUAA
rnacentral:lncRNA from 1 species